rnacentral:rRNA from 1 species
UACGUAGGGACCAAGCGUUGUUCGGAUUUACUGGGCGUAAAGGGCGCGUAGGCGGCGUAUUAAGUCAGCUGUGAAAUCUCCAAGCUUAACUUGGAACGGUCAGCUGAUACUGAUGUGCUAGAGUGCAGAAGGGGCAAUCGGAAUUCUUGGUGUAGCGGUGAAAUGCGUAGAUAUCAAGAGGAACACCAAUAGCGAAGGCAGCUCGCUGGGACGGUACUGACGCUAAGGCGCGAAAGCGUGGGGAGCGAACAGG